UACUUGGUCACUGUCAUUAUGGACAUAUUUGCUGUAGAUAGAGACAGAUGUGGUGGCGGCCGACGGGCCCUCUCGCCUCGUUGGGAUGGCCGCCAUUCUGGAGGAAUUUCAGUAUGGGUCGAAUAAUGGAGAAGCGUGGAAUACUUUUUUUAUGUUGUUCCUUAGAAAUAAUCAUAGCUUGCAUUGGCACAAAACUUUUCGCAUGCCUCCGAUACCGAUGUGAAGUUGGUCCCCCAUUUUUAAAUUUUUAAACUUUUUCUUUUAUACUCGUUUGCACCUCAUUAGCAACUUUUGCACUUUUACUAUUUUCGUUUGGAUCCCCACCAUAUAGCCCUUAGAGCCAAAACAAA
rnacentral:lncRNA from 1 species